rnacentral:miRNA from 1 species
UGCAUAUUUUGGUAAGAAGAUAUUAACGACAGUUGUUCGUCUUGGUGAGGGCUACAACUUUGCUUAAUAUCGUCUUACCAAAUUAUGCUUAUUUAAGGAGAUAGGUGUGCUCAUGCGCAGUACGUUACUCCUUACGCUUGCUUAUUUUGGUUAGAAGAUAUUAACAAAAGUUGUUCGUCUUGGUGAGGGCUACAACUUUGCUUAAUAUCGUCUUUCCAAAUUAUGCU